rnacentral:rRNA from 1 species
UACGGAGGGUGCAAGCGUUAAUCGGAAUUACUGGGCGUAAAGGGCACGCAGGUGGCUUGGCAAGUCGGAUGUGAAAGCCCCGGGCUUAACUUGGGAAUGGCAUUCGAUACUGCCGAGCUAGAGUAUGGGAGAGGAAAGCGGAAUUCCCGGUGUAGCGGUGAAAUGCGUAGAUAUCGGGAGGAACAUCAGUGGCGAAGGCGGCUUUCUGGCCCAAUACUGACACUCAUGUGCGAAAGCGUGGGGAGCAAACAGG